GAAGUAUUUUUAUUUUCUCCCCUCCUAACUCUCUUUUAUACUGUGUGUUUACUUAUGUUUUUAAGCAUUAUAUUUUACCUUUCUUUCAACCCAAACACUAUCAAAAUUAAUAUAUCUGUACUACUUUCAUGUUUUCAUUUUCGAGAAACUUUCAAAAUACAUACUAUAUCUUUGCUGUUACUAUUUCCCUCCUGCGCUAACUACCAUGCACGGUGGUAUAUAUAUACAUGUGUUUAUGAAUUUUUGAAGUAUCCAGAUCUCACCACAUGUAUAUGUAUUCCUUACCUGUCUCACUCUUUUCUACCGCAUCCAUACACAUAAAAGAUCUAAUCAGAUCUAAAGAAAAUGGAGGAAAGGACACUGAAUUCAUCUUUUUAGAAAAAGAACAAAACAUUAGGUGAUUGAAAAGAUGAUGGCGUCAGCCGUCAAGGGCUCGGAGGAAAUUGUCGUCGGAUAUUACGCAACCGUCGUACCAUGUUGGCGGUGACUUUUGCUGCCGCUGUUAUAGAUCUGGUCGACAUUGGUGCCUGGCGUUGGUGGUCAUAGUUUCUAAAGAGACCGGUGAUUACAAUUAUGGUGAACGAAGCCGGUAGCGGUCAGUGGAUGAGGUCGUUUCCGGCGAUUUUUUAGCAGAUUGGUUAUGUUUAUUUGUAAUUAUGUAAAGUUGUAUAAUUGUAUUGUAUAAUAUGCAAUGAAAUUGGUACAUAUAAAAAGGAAACAUGGUUGUACAAUAUGCAUUAAGAACUUGUAAAAAAGAAUUAUGUAAAGUUGUAUAAUUGUAUUGUA